GACGAACGCUGGCGGCGUGCCUAAUACAUGCAAGUCGAACGCUUCUUUCCUCCCGAGUGCUUGCACUCAAUUGGAAAGAGGAGUGGCGGACGGGUGAGUAACACGUGGGUAACCUACCCAUCAGAGGGGGAUAACACUUGGAAACAGGUGCUAAUACCGCAUAACAGUUUAUGCCGCAUGGCAUAAGAGUGAAAGGCGCUUUCGGGUGUCGCUGAUGGAUGGACCCGCGGUGCAUUAGCUAGUUGGUGAGGUAACGGCUCACCAAGGCCACGAUGAAUAGCCGACCUGAGAGGGUGAUCGGCCACACUGGGACUGAGACACGGCCCAGACUCCUACGGGAGGUAGCAGUAGGGAAUCUUCGGCAAUGGACGGAAGUCUGACCGAGCAACGCCGCGUGAGUGAAGAAGGUUUUCGGAUCGUAAAACUCUGUUGUUAGAGAAGAACAAGGACGUUAGUAACUGAACGUCCCCUGACGGUAUCUAACCAGAAAGCCACGGCUAACUACGUGCCAGCAGCCGCGGUAA
rnacentral:rRNA from 1 species